rnacentral:rRNA from 1 species
GAUGAACGCUGGCGGCGUGCCUAAUACAUGCAAGUCGAGCGAACAGAUGAGGAGCUUGCUCCUCUGACGUUAGCGGCGGACGGGUGAGUAACACGUGGAUAACCUACCUAUAAGACUGGGAUAACUUCGGGAAACCGGAGCUAAUACCGGAUAAUAUAUUGAACCGCAUGGUUCAAUAGUGAAAGACGGUUUUGCCGUCACUUAUAGAUGGAUCCGCGCCGCAUUAGCUAGUUGGUAAGGUAACGGCUUACCAAGGCAACGAUGCGUAGCCGACCUGAGAGGGUGAUCGGCCACACUGGAACUGAGACACGGUCCAGACUCCUACGGGAGGCAGCAGUAGGGAAUCUUCCGCAAUGGGCGAAAGCCUGACGGAGCAACGCCGCGUGAGUGAUGAAGGUCUUCGGAUCGUAAAACUCUGUUAUUAGGGAAGAACAAAUGUGUAAGUAACUAUGCACGUCUUGACGGUACCUAAUCAGAAAGCCACGGCUAACUACGUG